GAGGUUAAGGUUUCCUGAAUUUAGCCCGCCCCUCACUGGUAGGUUCUAAGAACAGAAGUUCGUCAGCUUCAGCCCUUCAGUCGCGAAUAAUACGUUUACCAUUUCCUGAAUUUAGCCCGCCCCUCACUGGUAGGUUCUAAGAACAGAAGUUCGUCAGCUUCAGCCCUUCAGUCGCGAAUAAUACGUUUACCACUGAAGGUUUGGUAUUAUUAUGGGACAAAAG
rnacentral:lncRNA from 1 species